CAUUAUUGAAUACUCGAUGGGUUGUAGCUGGCUYCUCGGAGCAUGUGCACGCCUGUCUUGACUCUAUUCAUCCACCUGUGCACCUAUUGUAGUCUCAUUUGCUAUGUCUUUAUUCACAAACCAUGUAGUAUGUUGCAGAAUGUAUUCAAUGGGCCAUCRUGCCUAUAAAACCUUAUACAACUUUCAGCAACGGAUCUCUUGGCUCUCGCAUCGAUGAAGAACGCAGCGAAAUGCGAUAAGUAAUGUGAAUUGCAGAAUUCAGUGAAUCAUCGAAUCUUUGAACGCACCUUGCGCUCCUUGGUAUUCCGAGGAGCAUGCCUGUUUGAGAGUCAGUAAAUUCUCAACCCCCACCAGCUUUUGUGAGUUGGCACUUGGGGAUUGGAUGUGGAGGUUCUGCCGGCCGGUCGGCUCCUCUGAAAUGUAUUAGCGGAACCGUUUGCGAUCCGUCACAGGUGUGAUAAUUAUCUACGCCAGUGGGUUGCUCUCUGUCUGUUCAGCUUCCAACCGUCCUCCGGGACAAACAUAACUGAACCUUUGACCUCAAAUCA
rnacentral:rRNA from 1 species